rnacentral:lncRNA from 1 species
CUGACAUAAUAAGUUGAUUUUUUUUUUUAAACCAUAAUACUCAGAGUCCUUAGGGGGGACUUCAGUGAACAGAGCCCAUGAACUAGACUCCUCAGCCGUAAGAGGGUAUCAGAGUUGUGUUGUUCUCCCAAACACCCUUACCUCCUUAGACACCUAGGAUGGUGCAGUUCAGAACAGAUGAGUGACUCUAUGGGCUUUGUUCUUUUUAAUUCAGGGAAAGAAACGGAAGGGAAAGUUGAAUGUUUAAAUAACUCUAGAAGAAAAAGAUGUAGAUUCUGGGACCUACCUUUUCUAGAAUGGGGAUUCAUGAUUUAAACAAAACAAAGGGAAGAAAAAUAAAUUACUCUUCUCAAUACUGUUUGGCAUAAUUGCAUUGCUUUCCCGUUUCUCAUCACAGCAGCUUGAGAGCAGAGAUGAGACAGGCAAAAACUGGAACGGUGACUAUGUGCGAUGGUUCGAGCCCUGAGAGGUUCUGCUAUACGCCCCUCCCUUUUUUUUUUUCCUCCACCCGUGCUUUUGAAACUGGGAAGGAACAGACUCGAGCAAAGUUCUCCAUGUAUUAGUUUUUAGGGUUGUUGCCUCAUCCCAAACCUCUUAACACUCUCCCUUAUGUGUGACUGUCCCCCAACCAGGCUGCUUGGUAAUGUGAACUCAUUAAGAAUGGGAAAUAUUUAUGUGGACGCUGCAGCAGGGACGUGUUUUCUGCGGCCUGAGACAUUCACUGAAGCCCUUUCUCCCAGUGAACCUCAACUGUGACCAAGUCAUGCAAGUAGCUUCCAGUUGUAACCCCUGAUUCUUGACUGAGCGGCCCUUCUGGAGCUGGAGAGUAGGUUAGAACAGGCGAGUAAGCAGGGUAAAGGUGCGGACAGGAGGAGGCAUGCAGGGCAGCCACCAAUCCGCUCCUCCCCAGCAAAGCUCCGAGCCAUCUGCGCGAGGCCCCGCAAACAAUUGUCAAGCAAUCUUGGUUGGAUCGCCAUCCCUGGCAGCUUGAGGGUAACUAAAGCAUGAGUCCAAAGCAAAUCCUACCCCCAAGCAAGAGGCUGCCUGCUCCUCUUUGGGGUGACAAUGAAAGAAAACGGUACAUGCUCAGGGAUCUCCUUUCCAGCCAACUGUCCAACCGUGUUGCUCUCUCGCGCCUUAGGGCUAAAGACACGGGUCACGUGUGGGAGAGCAAAAGCAGCCGAGUCAGGGUGGUCUCACUUUGUCUCCGAAUCAACAGGUGAGCUGGAGAGGAGGCCCAGGACCUAAGGACAGACGCUGAGAAGGUGGUAGGAGACAGGAGUGAGGGCACAUGUGAGAGAAGCACCUUGCAUGUGACCCGGUGAAGCUUCCUACCCGUUCCUGACACUAGUGAGGCCCUAGGGAGAUCAACCCAACAGGGGGUGAAUUCAACCCCCUACUACCUGGUGCGCCACGGAAAGCCCUGGAGAGUGUCUCACCGGAACCACAUUUCUUUGGAUGGCUUCACUCACCCACCCGGCCUAAGCUGGAAAUGAGCAGUUCAAGGCGCUCCUGCCCAGCCCCAGACCCGCCUCUUAAAAAGCAUCAAAAUUCUUAUCCAAAGCAGGUUUAGGGGAGGGGGUCGAGGCCCGCCGCCUCCCAAGGCCAUGAUUGGUGGAGACGGCGGCGCCGGAAAUUCUCCUUGAGUUGCGUGAUUGGCUAAGAAAGAAGCUCCUCCCAACUGCAGCACUGAUUGGUUGCUGGGGACGGCGCAGUCUGAUUGGUGGGCUGCAACCGGCGCUUGCCGGACCCAGAAGUGACUGGUUCUGAAGGCGCUCAGGGCCGCUCAGUUCCCUCGGUAGACCUCGAUCUUGCUGGCCUUGGCCAGCAUGUCGAUGAUGUGGGCUUCGAAGUCGGCGUCAUGCACGCCUGUCUUCCGGAACUCGCCCGCGUACCGGUUGUUCUCCCAGUAGUGGUGCCAGUUGCCUCGACUGUCGGCCCCGAACCCAUACACGUUCACCUACAACACCGACUGCCUACCUCAUCACACACAUGUAGUGCAAAGAAGAGCACCAGCAUUCCUGUGGAAGGGUAGCGCCCGUGGUGCUCGGUCCACCUGUCGUGAAUGUACUUGAAGAAGGCUGGGUUGUAAAUCUGGACCUGCAAGGAGAGAAAGGUCAAAGCUCAUCCUGCCUGGCAGCGGUCUGUGAUCCAGGGAUAUGGCUCAGCUCAGGUGGGCUUCCUGCUUUGUCAGGGUGCUGGGAGUCAUAAGACGGACAGCCUAAGUCCAAAAGGGGACUGAUCACAGCGGCUCCAAAAAUAAAGAG